ensembl:lncRNA
GUGUGUGUGUGUGUGUGUGUGUGUGUGUGUGUAAUGUUUCGGGGCAGUGGCCACUGUGUUUUUAUUCUACUUUAUGGACCUUGGAGUUUCUUUUAAUUCUAGUUUUUAUAUGUUGUUGUGUUUCACUCUAAAGCACUUGGUCUUUAUUUUUCCUGCCGAUGUUGUUUUUGUUUUUCUUUAUGUGCAGCACAUUGUGUAUGAAAUGUGCUAUAAACUUCCCUUGCCAUCAGAGAGUAUCACACUCACACACACACACACACACACACACACACACAUCAGGCAUCAGAGAGUAAAUUAAGAGAUGUCAGAGAAACUCAGAUUGAGACUCAAGGAUUUUGCUGGAGGGGGACAGGAGGCCUGUGUAAUUACAGAGAGAGAGAGAGAGACAGACACAUAGAGAGAGAGAGAGAGAGAGAGAGAGACAGAGACAGACAGACAGACACAGAGAGAAAGAGAGACAGACAGAGAGAGAGAGAGACAGACAUACAGACAGAGAGAGCGAGAGAAAGAGAGACAAACAGAGAGAGAGAGAGAGAGACAUACAGACAGAGAGAGAGAGAGAGAGAGAGAGAGAGAGAGACAGACAGAGAGAGAGAGAGACAGACAGAGAGAGAGAGAGAGCAACAGAAUGAGAGACAGACAGAGAGAGAGAUAGACAGACAGACAGACAGAGAGAGAGAGAAAGAGAAAGAGAGAGAGAUGUUGAGUGGUGUUGAUCGGUGAAGUCUAAAUGUGUUAUAUUGUUUGGUGUGGAUCCUCUAAAUGUGUUAUAUUGUUUGGUGAAGUCUAAAUGUGCUAUAUUGUUUGGUGACGAUCGGUGAAGUCUAAAUGUGUUAUAUUGUUUGGUGAGGAUCGGUGAAGUCUAAAUGUGUUAUAUUGUUUGGUGUGGAUCGUCUAAAUGUGUUAUAUUGUUUGGUGUUGAUCGGUGAAGUCUAAAUGUGUUAUAUUGUUUGAUGUGGAUCGUCUAAAUGUGUUAUAUUGUUUGGUGUUGAUCGGUGAAGUCUAAAUGUGUUAUAUUGUUUGGUGUGGAUCUAAAUGUGUUAUAUUGUUUGGUGUUGAUCGGUGAACUCUAAAUGUGUUAUAUUGUGUGGUGUGGAUCGUCUAAAUGGGUUAUAUUGUUUGGUGUGGAUCGUCUAAAUGUGUUAUAUUGUUUGGUGUGAACUCUAAAUGUGUUAUAUUGUUUGGUGUUGAUCGGUGAAGUCUAAAUGUGUUAUAUUGUUUGGUGUAGAUCGGUGAAGUCUAAAUGUGUUAUAUUGUUUGGUGUGAAUCGGUGAAGUCUAAAUGUGUUAUAUUGUUGUGAACUCUAAAUGUGUUAUAUUGUUUGGUGUAGAUCGGUGAAGUCUAAAUGGGUUAUAUUGUUUGGUGUGGAUCUGAAUGUGUUAUAUUGUUUGGUGUGGAUCGGUUGAUCAUAUAUUUUCGAGUAAAAGUUGGUAAAAAAAAAAAAACUGACGCUGCAGCAGUCAUAAUAAC